rnacentral:lncRNA from 1 species
AUCUCACUACAUACAUAGACAACCACAACAGCAGCAGCAAUAACACCAUGGGGACAUGAUAUCCAGUUCUCAGCACAGUUAAUUUGACAGAUAAACCAAACUAUUUAAGUACAGGUCAGCUUACAACAGCAACAACAAUGCAUAAACUAUUUUAAGUACAGGUCAGCUUACAACAGCAACAACAAUGCAUGUUUUCACAACCACAUUAUACAACGGCAUCAUCGACCACAUGGAACCUCCAAAAAGAGACUGUGUCUCUAUCAAUGUAAGCUCUACCACCACCUAAUAUUUAAUACCUUU